rnacentral:rRNA from 1 species
UUCAGGAAACUGGGGCUAAUACCGGAUAGGGAGCUCCUGCUGCAUGGUGAGGGUUGGAAAGUUUCGGCGUUGGGGAUGGACUCGCGGCUUAUCAGCUUGUUGGUGGGGUAGUGGCUUACCAAGGCUUUGACGGGUAGCCGGCCUGAGAGGGUGACCGGCCACAUUGGGACUGAGAUACGGCCCAGACUCCUACGGGAGGCAGCAGUGGGGAAUAUUGCACAAUGGGCGGAAGCCUGAUGCAGCAACGCCGCGUGCGGGAUGACGGCCUUCGGGUUGUAAACCGCUUUCGCCUGUGACGAAGCGUGAGUGACGGUAAUGGGUAAAGAAGCACCGGCUAACUACGUG